rnacentral:lncRNA from 1 species
AAAUCACUUGGACUGGGACAAGAAGAAAAAGUCCGUCAAGUUCGUUAAAAGAAACUCAAUAUAUUUUCCCAACCAGCUGUUAAUUUGCUAAAUCUGAACUUUGUAUUGACCAUGUAUAACUGUUUCUGCAUCGACUCAUAUAUGAAGGAUAAAUAUUUGGUCUAGAGACUGCUCUUUUCUUAAAAUUUAUGAUUUGAGUUGUUAUCCUAGUCUGUGUUUUGACAGCUACAUGGACUUACAGGAUACCUAAAACAGAGUUCUCCCAAA